rnacentral:lncRNA from 1 species
AUUUGGGAUUGUGACUAAUAAAUUAGGAUAACAAGAAUUUUUGUUGAUAGAUGACUAUUAUUUCAGAAUUUUUCAUCAGUAGGUUGCAUUUUAAAAUAUUUUUUAAAAAACUCCUAUUUUUGGAAAGUUUUCAUUCUUAUAGAGAACUAUUGUAGAUUUGGAUUGUGACUAGGAUAACAAGAAUUUUUGUUGAUAGAUGAGGAUUCAUUCAGAAAUUUUCAUCAAUAGAUUGCAAUUUUUAAAUAAUUUUUUUAAAAAAAAUUGCUAUUUUUUUUUAAAGUUUUCAUUUUUAUAGAGAAUUAUUGUUGAUUUGGGAUUGUGCUUUAGAAAUUAUGAUAACAAUAAUUUUUGUAAUAGUUUUAGGUGCAGUUAUGCUCUGUGGUGACAACCUGAAGAACCUAGGUUCCUCCUGUGACAUGCUUAUUUAUCUUAUGGUAGGGCUGUAGCAAGAAGCCUCCAUAGGGGGUGCGACUCCAAUGACUACUUGUGGCUAAUUGAUUGAAUUGGUCAAAGGAUUGACUCGGAUUCAAACUCAGAGCUUUAACGUCUGCGCAUGACAGAAGUAUGAAAUUCCUAUUGUUCAGAGAGUCAUAUCGGUUCUAUUAAGGACAUGUCCUCUAGAAAGGGCCCUUUUCCAAAAAGAUUCCUAAUCAAAUUUAGGGCUAAACUAGGACUCGGAUGGGAUAGGAUUGUGCAUUCAGGCCCUUUGAUAGAUGAGUAUUCUUUCAAAAAAAUUCAUCAACAUGUUGCAUUUCUUAAAUAAUUUAAAAAAAAAACUCCUAUUUUUGGAAUAUUUUCAUUUUUAAAGAGAGUUAUUGUAGAUUUGAGAUAGUGACUUAGAAAUUAGGAUAAGAAGAUAUUUUGUUGAUAGUAAAGUAUUCUUUCGAAAUUUUUCAAUAGGUUGCAUUUUUAAAUAUUUUUUAAAAAAAACUGCUAUUUUGAAAAGUUUUUAUUUUUUAUAGAGAACUGUUGUUGAUUAAGAUUGUGCGUUAGAAAUUAGGAUAAGAAAAAAAAAUUAUAUAUGUUUCAGAAUUUUU